CUUUUGUUUCUAUCAACCGAAUGUAAAAGAAAAGAAAAAGAAAAGAACAAGCUAAGGGUUCGGCCAUUUUUUGAGUUUGAUUAAGAUCAAGAACAGAAGAAAACGGAAUUAGAUCGGGGGAAGUUGAAAGUAGUCGAGUAGUCGACUGUGUCCGUCGAAAUCCAAGAUUUUGGAAUUCAUUACGAGUUCGGGAAUCGUCAGCAAGACUUAUCACACUAUCGACAGUUACUUUCGGUACUUUAUUAAGUUGUUUUUGAGUAUAUGACAUCUAUAGCAUAGUUGAAAUGUUGAUUUUGGGUCAAUUUGUAUAUGAAAUUAAUAGCCAUGCGAAAAUGGCUCAUCCUAUUUUGAUCGAGUUUGGUGUUUAUGAAUAUGGUUUUUAAUGGUCAUGG